ACAAUACAAACCUGGUCCUCCAAUGCGUGAAAGAUAUAAGGAAUGGAAGCACACCUCACUCUAAAAUGUGCUGAAUAUUUUUAGAUAAAACAUUUCUGAGAAACACUCCAUAUGCUUUACACUUUGGGUAUAAUGGACAUAAUUGGUUAAUAUAAUUUUUCUGUGUUUCUUCAAAUUCUUUUCUUAUUUAGAAAAAAAAUGCAGUUGAGGUGCCAAGAAGAAAUAAUUUAACACACACUGAAUUCCUCAUUCUCUUGAAUGGAAAAUAUUUUAAAUUAAUAAAAAUUCUACUUUUUUAAAGAAAUAAUGUUUAAUAUUGUGAAAAUUCCCAACAUGUUAACUGAUGUAAAAUUUUUUCUUAGAAACAAAUUCUAUAUUUCCAUAAGAUCUGCAUGACUGGGAGAAGUUCCAGCACUACUUUUAUAUGUAUAAUAUUGAAUGGUUUGAGUACACCUACAGAGCCUGAAGGGUGAGAUGGGUUUUAAGCAGCAAUUGUUGGUCAUAUGCACUCAAUCAGCAAAUCAUGCGUUACCAAUUAUUGUAAGCCUGACACCUAUCUUUUCCUCCUGUUAAAAAAGUAAUUUAUUUUUAUUUUAUUUAAAUCUUUCUGAAAGGAAAAAAAAAAAAAACGGUUUUAAUGCUAGAUGCACCCUGCAAGUCCAGUGUUAGCUAGGAUGAUGCUGAGAUUUUUUUACAAUUUCCAUAUCAGCAAAAUCAUGUUGAAAUUACUUCCCUUUAUAAAUGAAGUUUCAGCAUGAUUUUACUUAAAAUCUUCAAGGAGUGAUUCAGAUAAGUAAUGUAUUUAACUAUUUAAUUUUCCUUCCUAUUUUAAGAAACUGCAGGAUGAUUGUUUUUGUAUAUGAGCAUAUUUUGUGUUGUGUUUAGAAUAUAUUCAAUAUUUCUGCUUACUGCUAAAUGCCACCUUAGGCUACUUUUGAGAAUGCUUUCUCAUUUUCCAGCUUUGGAGCUGUUUAUAAAGCCCUCGACACCAGCACAGGACAACAGGUGGCCAUCAAGAUAGUGUCUCUUCAGGAGAAGACGUCCGAGGAGCUGGCUGUCAAUGAAAUCCUGGUGAUGAGGGACAGCAGGAAUCCCAAUAUUGUCAGCUACUUAGACAGCUACCUGGUGGAUGCGGAGCUCUGGCUGGCGAUGGAGUUCAUGGAUGGCGGCACGUUGUUUGAUGUGCUCAGGGCAGUGUACCUGGAGGAAGGAGAGAUAGGCGCCGUCUGUCGGGAGGUGAGGCAUCCCGCUUGUGCUUCCCCUGGCCUGCCCAGGAUGCUUCUUGUCAACUGGUGGUUAAGGAGAGCAGAGAUUUCUUGCCCCCGGCUUUCUUUUGGCGCUGCUCUCACGACACAGAGGAGAAGAAAGAGCAUUAAUCUGAAGUGAACUGCCUGCUGGAGUCCCCGCGCGCCUUAGGCUCUGUUCUUGCACCCCCGUAUCCCACUAACCCCAAACCCCCUGUGGGGUUUUCCCCCCGUUCCGUAUUUAGGUCGUUCACGCGGCGUGCUCCGUGCUUUCUCCUCGCUGGCUCCAGCGCGCUCCACCUGCUCGCGCUGCUCUGGCAAACGCAGGCGCGGCACGUCUGGUUCCCUUCGAAUUAUUGUUUUCCCCGUUGGAUUGCAAUAAACGGAAUUCACCCCACGGAGAAAGACUCUCUUCAUUAAAUCGCCGUGGGGUCGCUGACUGCUCUCCGAACUCCGACAGCGCUGCCCAAAGCCCGGUGAGGGUUCAGCGGGAAGUGCUGGAAGUCUGCCCGUGCCCUUUCUCCCCAGAGCUAGCCGGGGCAAGGGAAAGGCAGAGGGGAGAAGAGCACAUCGGCAGUGCUGUAGAUAGGAAAUGUAAUGUUUUGAGGUUUUCUUAGCUUAGCUGUCUUUAGUUAGGACUAGAGAGCAUAGAAAGCUUCAUUCAUGAAGCAUUGUUUAGAUAAGAGUAGAGUAGUGUUGAUGUAGGGAAGCUCAGAAUUCUCCUGUAAGGAGAAAUGAAUGAAUUGUCAUCAGAAGAAUUGAGCUAUCAAAGAAGAAUGUGGGAUUCAGCAGAUCUGGAGCAGGCAUGUCCCACGAGUUGUCUGCCUGAACUGGCCACCCGGAGGACAGAAUGAGGAAGAUGAAGAUGGUGAAGUAACCAGGAGAUGCUCUGUUCCGGCUCUUGCUUUCAGCACGACUGGCAAUAAAACCUCUAAAGCCUCCAGAGCUCUGGAAUGUUCCCUUGCGUGUCACGCUGUGCCUAAGCUGGUCAGUGCCUUCCAAGCUGUGCGCUGCGGACGGGCUCUCCCGUUCAUGGCUUUGCGCUGCUUCCGAGCGGCCCAAGGCUCUCCCCCUUCACAGAGAGGCCCUGGCCUGCCCCACACACCUUCUCUGACAGCUGCCCCACACCCCCCACCUGCCUUGCGGAGAUGUUGUCCCCCAUGCCUUUGUGUCCCUCCGUGCCAGCUGCCCCUCAUGCCGGGCCAGGAUGAGGGACCUGGCCUGGCUGUCCCCCGUUCCUGACGGUCACUUGGUACUGAGGAGUAAAGGAGGAUCGAAAGGGCGCGUCUUCCUUACGCUUCCCUCUCUUAAACCUCUGGGGCACCAAAGCGCCCCGCUCAAGGGGGCCUGAGGGCCUACGCUCGGCUUUCCGUGCUACCCUGUCAUUCUUCCUUCUCUAAAGCCCUACAAUUGGCUGGUUGAUGUGAGCAGACUUGGAAAUGGGGAAAAUGAGAUGCUUUCAAAUGGAGGCAAUCCUUCUGGGUAACUACUGCAGUGUUUCAGCAACAGAAUUUGAAGACAGUGCUGGGCCUUGCAUCAAUUGCAUUGAUUUUGAAAUGCCACCCUCAGCUUCCGAAGUGUGAGGAGCCCGGGGUAAAGCUCCUUGAAAGACUGGACUGUGCUGUCCACCAGCAGAGGACUUGUGGGUGCUGAGUCACCAGGAAACCAAGCUAAGUCUGGGAUCCUUGUUCUACAGGUGAACUGAGUUUAUUUCCAGAGGAGUUGCGUGCACUUUUCCGCCAUCUCACGCAGUAAUUUCUUUCUACUUUUAAGCUGGCUCCUGGGUUCAGUCUCAAGAGUUUUUCUUUAUAUGUAAGAUAAUUGAUUUUAUAUAUAAUAGGAUUGCUUUUUAUUUACAAUUAGAAAGGUAAAUAAUGAAAUUUUGUGAUCACUUAAUUUGUUUUUGAUGUUUAUUUGUAUAUUCUAACUAAUUCUUCUUCACAUCAGUAUUGCAAUAUAAAGGAGUAACAGAAUUUUUUUUAAGCCCUCACUCCCUCCUUCCCUCUUAAAAAUAUAUUGACUUGAUAGAACAGAACAAUUUUGUUUAAGGAUAGUGCAUGCAAGCCUCAAUUAGUUUUGUCAAGCUAGAUAAUGAAAAAACACUUAUAAACAGCAGAAGACUACUGAGAAUUGCAACUCUGGAGCCUUCAGAUCCUGCAUCACUCAGUCCUGGUAUCUGUAGUAAACAUACUACAGGUAUUAUGCACAUAUUAACAUGGAUUGCUAAAGAGGAUCAGGCAUCUGUUUGCUCCUCCAUUCUGUAAAUGAUCCAAUCACAUUUUUGGUUGAGAUGAUGGCAAAAUACAUGUGGAGCCAGUGGUUGAAAUCUCAUCUUUAUUUUAAAAUCCAGGAAGGAAAUACAGGGAAUCCCAGGAAUACUGUGGUUUCAGUAUCUGCGGCUGCUCAUACAGUUUUCAUCUUUCAGUGAUAUUUUUUGUGGAGUUGUUGAUGACUGACAUUCUGAAUAUAUCUUAUUAAGAUAAAAUAUCUUGGAUGUGGUUAAUAGGACAGGGCAGUUGUUGAUCCGGAGGCUUAAAGGGCUUCUAGGAAGGAACUCAACUAUGUGCCUGUUAAUGUAGGUAAAGAAGAGUUAUCAUAGUUCAGGAAAUGUGCAUACAUCUCAGCUAAUUUUGUUGCUAUUUAGUUUAGUAUUAGUCUAGUGAUCAGGAAACAAAUUUGACCUUUUCUAUUCUUUAAUGCAAAAUACUGUGUGUCAGAAGGAAGGGGUUUUUUAUCUUGAAGGGGAGGCAUAGAUCUUUCUUGCCAUCUCUCAAGUGUAAUGAGAUACAAAUUGCAAACAUUGUAUGAAUGAAAGGUGGUAGCAGAGAGUGUUGGAAAAUAGUAUUAAAAAUAAUAAUGUUUUUUAGCCUUUAUCCUGAAACUGGGGAAUGUCUCACUCAGGCUUUCCAAAUAUGUGACUUGUACUCUUUUUAACCUUUCUCCUUGCCAUGCCUUGGCACUAAGAGGCUGAUCUCAAAAGACUAGGAUAUAAAUGAGAUUCUUUUCAAUGUAUUUGAUACAAGGAAAUACAGAACAACGAACUCUGCCACCUCAUUUAAUAUAGCUCAGAAAUUGAAGUGCACACAUCUGUGAGGUCUGUUUAUAGAUUCAACUAACAACACCUGCAUUUUCAUGUCAUUUAGGUUUAGUUUAUUCAGCAAACAUAACAUUUAAAUGUGCAUUUUCCAUUGAAAAGGUUAAAUACAAAUUCACUUCAAUUAAAGUAGGUAGCUUUUCCUCUUUGUAUAACAGACUAAAUAUACAUUCACUCUUUGAAUAAUCUUUUUUUGUGUGUGUGUACAAAAAACAAGGUUUUUCAAAUGUAGUAGGCAUGUAGUCAUGGCUAUGUAUUUUUCUGGGUCAGAUGUGAUGGCUCAUAGGAAUGUUACUAAGACAAAAUAAGAAAUAGGUCUGUAUCAUUCCAUGCUGGCUAUACAUCUCUGCUUCUACUGGAGAGAAAUAGAAUUCAGUUAUGCUAAACAAAAGCAUUCAUACAGAAAUCUUUCUCCAAGGAACUGUAGUCAGCUGGGCAACAGUUUCCAUAACAACAACACCUCAAGACUAUAUCUGGGCCUUUUUCUUCUAAGUUAUUUGGUGGAUCUCCUAAAGUGAGUGAAUUAAGGUAUCAGGUGAAAGGUGGUACCAUUCUAUUAGAUACCUUUUCAUUAAUGAAACGAAACCAGUUCAGCAGCCUAAGUCUAAAGUAAAACAUAUUUUGAUUCAUUAUAGCUUAUGCAUUUUACAUUUUUUGCUGGAAAACUUUAUAUAAACUAGCUGUCAUAUUUAUUCAGUUGACUUCAAAGGUGUGUUAUGUAAUGAUGUUCUUAUUUUUAGAUACAUUCAUGUAUCAGAAGUACAAUAAUUCGAAAUUGUCAGACUUCUACAAUUUUUGAAGUAUUUUCUGUGAAAAACUAAGAUUCAAGAGCAUUCUUAGAACACAAUCAGGAAGAGACUAGACUUUUACAUCAGGUGUGUGUAGGACUUCCCCCUACUUGUCUUCACAAACCCAGUUCCAUUAAUACUCACAUGGAUGCAAAGUAAAUUAAUCUACUUGUGAGACUAUGUCCUAACCUGUCUUUUAUUUUGAAGUCAUGCAAAUUACUGUGCUUGGGUUUGCUUAUGUUUAUCUGAGUAUUAAAGCUGUCACAUAGAUUAGUAAUAUAGUAAAUAUGAAGGAUAUAAGUGAACUUGCAGUCCGUGCAAAAGCCUUCCAAAGUGACAGAUUCUGUGUAGCGCUGAACUGUGUAAUGAAUAUAAAACAUAGCCACUGCUACUGAAUGUGACAAGCUUUCCACACAUUAAAAAUCAAUGCUGUAAAUGUCUGCUUAAAAUACUGAACAGUACCUAAAGCCACUCCUUAGCAACACUGUCAUUCUUUAUAGAAGACAAGCAUUUAAACCAACUAAUUCUGUAAUUAUUUUAUUCUUACUUAGACUUACUGAAUUGACAUACUUACUGUUAUUUUAUUCAAUUAAUACACUGGUUAUCCAUGGCUAAACUUCUUAUGAAACCUCUUCCUGUUCCCAAGUGUUAGGAAAAUGUGGUAGGAAUAUGUGAGUGGUGGUAAAGUGUAGUGGAGGAGCCAUUUAAUUUUGUUUCAUUUAAUUGAGAUUAUGUCACAGUUGUUUUGACUUCAUUUCUCAUGAGGGGCUGACAAAGCCCCAUUUCAGAUUUAAUUAUCUGACUCAUAGAAAGAACACUUAACACUCAUUGCAGAAAGGAGAGGUUAGAAGUUUCUCAAGUCCAGGACAAAGAGAAAUAGCAGAUGGAUUUCUAAUGUGUAGUAUUUCCUGCAUUCCUUUUGUGUUAAAUUGCAGCAAUACAAUGCCAUUUCUAAGUGGGAGAAAAAAAAAAAAAAAAAAGAAAAGCAAACAAAAAAGAAAACAGGUAGCUGUGUACUAUUAGAACUUAACCUCAUUUUCCCACUCUUUUAGUAGUGGGCUUAGCCAUGUUAUGAGAUAGUGGUUUUGGAGUAACUCCUCAGUGCUUACUUUGGGUAUCAGUCACUCCAGGCUUCCAUGUCACAGGGAAGACACUAAACGAUAUUUUAAUGUAUCCUGAAGAAAAAAAAAGAUUACAAAUGCAACGGUUUUCAUGAUAAAAAGCACUAGCACUUCACAUAUUUUGGUUUAACAUCCUGAGUUUGGCUGUAGCUGCAGGAAAAUUAUUGACUAGGAAGGCAGGAAGGACUUAAGAUGAUCAGCAUGGGAGCGGGUCCCGGAGCCUGGCCAGGGACAGCAGGCAGCGUGGUGACAUUAUCCUUAUCCCGGUGCUUCGGGGACGGAACCCUCCUGGGACUACAGGGAUCCAUGGACGGAUUCCGUCUCUGUGGCUGUGUCAAGAAAACACUGUGGCCGAAACACACUCAUGCUGUCUAGGGUACUAUCUUUGCAUUUUGGAGAUAGAAUGAUGUUUGAAUCCUAGUCCUAAAACCAAAACACCAUAAACACAUGCAGUAGUUUGCAUGCUGCCCAGACCCUGUCCUGUAUAAAAAAAAAUGACUCAACCUUUCCCUGCACCAAAUAGCUUUGCUUGUAGACUUGUUGCUAAUGGAUAAAGCAGUGAUGAAGAUGGUAUUUGAAGCCCUCAAGUGUUCAGGAACUGCAUGUUUGUACGGGAAUACUUAGUUAAAAGCAAUGAAUCCCAUGAGCGGACCUGAGUCUGCCCUCUGCCCCCUUCCCUGAUGGUCUUCACCUAAAGUAACAAUGGAAUUCUGUGUGUAUUAUUGCACUGAGUCAUGAGAAAGGAUAAGCGCAAUGUAUAAUAAAAAGUUGCAUGUGGUUGUGGAGGGCUGGCACAGAAACAGUAAGCUCACAGCAGCCACUCUAGUGUGAAAAGGCAA